rnacentral:rRNA from 1 species
UAGGGAAUCUUCGGCAAUGGGACGAAAGUCUGACCGAGCAACGCCGCGUGAGUGAAGAAGGUUUUCGGAUCGUAAACUCUGUUGGUAGAGAAGAACGUUGGUGAGAGUGGAAAGCUCAUCAAGUGACGGUAACUACCCAGAAAGGGACGGCUAACUACGUGCCAC